CCGGAGGAAGGUGGGGAUGACGUCAAGUCAUCAUGGCCUUUAUGCCUAGGGCAUCACACGUGCUACAAUGGCCGGUACAAAGCGACGCGAGACCGCGAGGUGGAGCAAAUCGCAAAAAGCCGGCCCCAGUUCGGAUUGCAGGCUGGCAACUCGCCUGCAUGAAGUUGGAAUCGCUAGUAAUCGCGAAUCAGCUAUGUCGCGGUGAAUGUGUUCCUGAGCCUU
rnacentral:rRNA from 1 species